AAAUUGAAGAGUUUGAUCAUGGCUCAGAUUGAACGCUGGCGGCAGGCCUAACACAUGCAAGUCGAACGGUAACAGGAAGAAGCUUGCUUCUUUGCUGACGAGUGGCGGACGGGUGAGUAAUGUCUGGGAAACUGCCUGAUGGAGGGGGAUAACUACUGGAAACGGUAGCUAAUACCGCAUAACGUCGCAAGACCAAAGAGGGGGACCUUCGGGCCUCUUGCCAUCGGAUGUGCCCAGAUGGGAUUAGCUAGUUGGUGGGGUAACGGCUCACCAAGGCGACGAUCCCUAGCUGGUCUGAGAGGAUGACCAGCCACACUGGAACUGAGACACGGUCCAGACUCCUACGGGAGGCAGCAGUGGGGAAUAUUGCACAAUGGGCGCAAGCCUGAUGCAGCCAUGCCGCGUGUAUGAAGAAGGCCUUCGGGUUGUAAAGUACUUUCAGCGGGGAGGAAGGGAGUAAAGUUAAUACCUUUGCUCAUUGACGUUACCCGCAGAAGAAGCACCGGCUAACUCCGUGCCAGCAGCCGCGGUAAUACGGAGGGUGCAAGCGUUAAUCGGAAUUACUGGGCGUAAAGCGCACGCAGGCGGUUUGUUAAGUCAGAUGUGAAAUCCCCGGGCUCAACCUGGGAACUGCAUCUGAUACUGGCAAGCUUGAGUCUCGUAGAGGGGGGUAGAAUUCCAGGUGUAGCGGUGAAAUGCGUAGAGAUCUGGAGGAAUACCGGUGGCGAAGGCGGCCCCCUGGACGAAGACUGACGCUCAGGUGCGAAAGCGUGGGGAGCAAACAGGAUUAGAUACCCUGGUAGUCCACGCCGUAAACGAUGUCGACUUGGAGGUUGUGCCCUUGAGGCGUGGCUUCCGGAGCUAACGCGUUAAGUCGACCGCCUGGGGAGUACGGCCGCAAGGUUAAAACUCAAAUGAAUUGACGGGGGCCCGCACAAGCGGUGGAGCAUGUGGUUUAAUUCGAUGCAACGCGAAGAACCUUACCUGGUCUUGACAUCCACGGAAGUUUUCAGAGAUGAGAAUGUGCCUUCGGGAACCGUGAGACAGGUGCUGCAUGGCUGUCGUCAGCUCGUGUUGUGAAAUGUUGGGUUAAGUCCCGCAACGAGCGCAACCCUUAUCCUUUGUUGCCAGCGGUCCGGCCGGGAACUCAAAGGAGACUGCCAGUGAUAAACUGGAGGAAGGUGGGGAUGACGUCAAGUCAUCAUGGCCCUUACGACCAGGGCUACACACGUGCUACAAUGGCGCAUACAAAGAGAAGCGACCUCGCGAGAGCAAGCGGACCUCAUAAAGUGCGUCGUAGUCCGGAUUGGAGUCUGCAACUCGACUCCAUGAAGUCGGAAUCGCUAGUAAUCGUGGAUCAGAAUGCCACGGUGAAUACGUUCCCGGGCCUUGUACACACCGCCCGUCACACCAUGGGAGUGGGUUGCAAAAGAAGUAGGUAGCUUAACCUUCGGGAGGGCGCUUACCACUUUGUGAUUCAUGACUGGGGUGAAGUCGUAACAAGGUAACCGUAGGGGAACCUGCGGUUGGAUCACCUCCUUA
rnacentral:rRNA from 1 species